GAUGAACGCUGGCGGCGUGCCUAAUACAUGCAAGUCGAGCGAACGGACGAGAAGCUUGCUUCUCUGAUGUUAGCGGCGGACGGGUGAGUAACACGUGGAUAACCUACCUAUAAGACUGGGAUAACUUCGGGAAACCGGAGCUAAUACCGGAUAAUAUUUUGAACCGCAUGGUUCAAAAGUGAAAGACGGUCUUGCUGUCACUUAUAGAUGGAUCCGCGCUGCAUUAGCUAGUUGGUAAGGUAACGGCUUACCAAGGCAACGAUGCAUAGCCGACCUGAGAGGGUGAUCGGCCACCCUGGAACUGAGACACGGUCCAGACUCCUACGGGAGGCAGCAGUAGGGAAUCUUCCGCAAUGGGCGAAAGCCUGACGGAGCAACGCCGCGUGAGUGAUGAAGGUCCUCGGAUCGUAAAACUCUGUUAUUAGGGAAGAACAUAUGUGUAAGUACCUGUGCACAUCUUGACGGUACCUAAUCAGAAAGCCACGGCUAACUACGUG
rnacentral:rRNA from 1 species